CACGUAGGGUGCGAGCGUUGUCCGGAAUUAUUGGGCGUAAAGGGCUCGUAGGCGGUUUGUCGCGUCGGGAGUGAAAACUCAGGGCUUAACCCUGAGCCUGCUUCCGAUACGGGCAGACUAGAGGUAUGCAGGGGAGAAUGGAAUUCCUGGUGUAGCGGUGAAAUGCGCAGAUAUCAGGAGGAACACCGGUGGCGAAGGCGGUUCUCUGGGCAUUACCUGACGCUGAGGAGCGAAAGUGUGGGGAGCGAACAGG
rnacentral:rRNA from 1 species